rnacentral:rRNA from 1 species
AGACGUAGGGGGCGAGCGUUGUCCGGAAUCACUGGGCGUAAAGAGCACGUAGGCGGGAUAUUAAGUCAGGUGUGAAAGACCGUGGCUCAACCACGGGGUUGCAUUUGAAACUGAUAUUCUUGAGGGCAGGAGAGGACAGUAGAAUUCCUGGUGUAGCGGUGAAAUGCGUAGAAAUCAGGAGGAAUACCGGUGGCGAAGGCGACUGUCUGGACUGACCCUGACGCUGAGGUGCGAAAGCGUGGGUAGCAAACAGGAUUAGAUACCCUGGUAGUCCACGCCGUAAACUAGGGAUACUAGGUGUAGGGGGUAUCGACCCCUUCUGUGCCGCAGCAAACGCAAUAAGUAUCCCGCCUGGGGAGUACGAUCGCAAGGUUGAAACUCAAAUGAAUUGACGGGG